rnacentral:rRNA from 1 species
GACGAACGCUGGCGGCGUGCCUAAUACAUGCAAGUCGAACGAGAGCGACCGGUGCUUGCACUGGUCAAUCUAGUGGCGAACGGGUGAGUAACACGUGGGUAACCUGCCCAUCAGAGGGGGAUAACAUCCGGAAACGGAUGCUAAAACCGCAUAGGUCUUCGAACCGCAUGGUUUGAAGAGGAAAAGAGGCGCAAGCUUCUGCUGAUGGAUGGACCCGCGGUGCAUUAGCUAGUUGGUGAGGUAACGGCUCACCAAGGCCGUGAUGCAUAGCCGACCUGAGAGGGUGAUCGGCCACAUUGGGACUGAGACACGGCCCAAACUCUUACGGGAGGCAGCAGUAGGGAAUCUUCCGCAAUGGACGCAAGUCUGACGGAGCAACGCCGCGUGAGUGAAGAAGGUUUUCGGAUCGUAAAACUCUGUUGUUAGAGAAGAACAAGUGCUAGAGUAACUGUUAGCGCCUUGACGGUAUCUAACCAGAAAGCCACGGCUAACUACGUG